UUGCUGGUGGUUUAAAACGUCAACUGCCGGUGGAGCUGAAGUUCAUGUUACUGUCAAAAGGAAAACUCUGGGUUGCAAAAACUAAAAGAAGCACAGGAAAGAGAAAAGAAAUACCGGCGGUUUGUCACCCAGUUUGUCACAAAGACAGGUACCAGGCCAAAAUACAGAUGCAGCUUCAUCCUCAGCAGCUCCUAUACACCUUACAAAUGGACCAGCCCUGCUCCCAACUGAAGAAGUAGGUCCCUGCUUCAUGGAGAGGUUGCCUGUCUGGUGUUUUGUCAAGUAGCCCACUGGAAGACUUCCCGAUAUGACUGGCAGCCUCCCACAAUGCCGCAGGAUAUCUGUAACAGAGAGGGACCGGUCAUUGUGAGAAUGCCGGUAUCUGCAUGAACAGGGACUGCUGAGUAACUUGAGGAGGAGACCCUGAGGACUUAUCUGAAGUUGGGCUGUGGGGGCAGCAAACAAAGACGUCCCUCUUCCCAGCAGUACUUUCCAGCUAAUCUUGAGGGACCCCGAGGCAUUGCCAGGCCAGAUGAGAUAUGUAAUCCCUCCAGUGUGUUCUGGGUCUGCCCCAGGGCCUCCUACCAGUGGGACAUGCCCAAACACCUCCAACAGGAGGAGCCCAGGAAGCAUCCUGAUCAGAUGUCCGAACCACCUCAACUGACCCCUUUCGACGUGAAGGAGCAGCGGCUCUAGGCUAAGCCCAGCCACCCUUCUGAGGAAACUCAUUUUGACGGCUUGUAUCCAGGAUCUCAUUUUUUUGGUCACUACCCAGAGCUCAUGACCAUAGAGCCGAGCGUGCCCCGUCACAGCGUGACUCAACCAGCAGAGAGAAACUGCUACAGGACACCACCACCAGGUCGAAUUCAGUCAGAGUUCUGCGUGUGUAAGCGGCUGAUGUUGCUUGCCUCGGAGGAGAGAUGAAGAGUGAGCCACAGAGGUCUGGUGGUUAAAAUAUGUUUUGUUGCUGAACCCGUCCACAGCAGCGGGUUGCUUAGCUUCCAUGUCGGACUCCAGCCUGCUUCUCCCAACUGGGGGCGUGCCACAUAAAACCCCCAACUCAAAAAAUCUGAACUACCUCUUUGACCACAUUAAUGAUGUGGAAACUGCAAACAUUCAUAAUAGACUUUGCAUUAGCAUUGUUGUUUUUUAUCUGGCAAAUAAUUUAAGUGCGUUGUGCCCAACCCACGUAAUAGGUUGUGUUCAUUUCCCGAAUUUCUGUGAGACUGUGUUCAAUUGUAGGCAACAAUACCUUGAGAUACCAUGUCUACCAUACUGGAGAUGCUAUUUUUUAUGUUAUAGUUCUUUAAGUUAUGGUCCACAUUGUAGCUUGAUUUGUGCAAAUAUAAGCUACACUGAGUGUUGAGUUAUAUCCAGUACUUUACACUGAAAUUAUAUUUUCUUUUUACUCUAAAUACUUUAACUUUUGCACAAAGUUGGCCUUUAAAUUUCACUGUGAGUGUUUGAAUGGUGCUACUAAAAGUUUUGUGUGAGAAAGUUAAUAAAUAAAUAAAACACGCAGCAGUAUUGCAUAACUGAGACAGGAAGUCAU